UGAAUUUAAUGGAAAGGGUGAGAUUGUAUUGACUUGUAUAAAUUUUCAAUAUUUGGUUCAAUGUUGGUUAAAGAUAAUCUUAAAGUUGAUGUCAAAUUUUUGGUAAGCAUAGAGUGAGAUCCCUGGUACAUUACUAGCCUGCUUCUCUAAUGUGACAGUGCUGUAUUGGCUUCUGUUAUUGAUCUCCAGGGAUUCUAUUAUCAUCCCUUCUAUCUAUAAUUUACAAUGUUUUACAACAUUUUAAAGUUUUAGAACUUCAUAAAAUUUAAAACAUUGUUCCAUCUUCCAUCUAUUAUUCGUAGCUCUUAACAGAUUUCUCUUGUAAGUGUUUAAUGAACCUGAAACUUGACCAUCUACUUUAAGAGAACAGCAUCUUAAGUUAUGAGAUACUUCUCAUUUGAUGGAUAAUAGCAGAAAGGAGUCUCUAUCAGAAGAUAUAUGGCUAACAUAAUGACAAAAAUUCUGUUAAAUACAUAGAAUCAGUCAUGUUUGAAAGCUUUAUAGAUUCAUUUAAAAUAUAUGUAUGUUAUGUUGAUGACAUAUUCAUCAUUUGGAAGAACAGAUAGAUCCUUAGAAUUGAAAGAAGCUUUUGAAAAUUAAAAUGCUGGCCUUAGACUUUAUUGUGACUAAUGCAGUUUUACGUCUGUUCACUUCUUGUGUAUACAAUUAGAUGUCUCAAAAGGUCAUUAUGAAAUGAAAAUAUAUAGAAAAAUCUACCUACAUACUGGUGAUCCUACAAUCUGAUCUAACGAUCUGCUGGAUCUGUAAAGGUAUAAAAAAUUAACUUUCCAUUCUUUCUUCCAGACAGUUUUCAUCCACUGCAAGAAAAUUGAAGAUAACAGAAACUUCAUAAUCAUAUACUGGGAUAUAUAGUAUGGGGUAUAUAAUGUUACACAUUUAAAUUUAUGAAAUCAACAUAUGACCUGAUUGAAAAAUCUUUGAACACUAUGCAUGAUCAAAUACAACAUGAAACGUGAACAGAGGAAUUCAAAAACUUGUGAAGGUGCCAUAUAGCAUCAUAUAGCACUUAAAACAAUCAAAAGAAUCAUUGCUAAGUUAAAUACCAAGCUUGUGAUUUCAAUAUACCCAACUUUGUAUGGUAAACUCAGAAAUGAAAAUGAUAAAUUUUACGAAGUUAAAUAUGGAUAUUACACACCAGUGUAUGUAAUGCUCAUAUUUAACAAAGACCUUAAUCGUCAUAAAGAGUAUGGCUAUAUCAUAUUAAGAAAUUUAUUAGAUUGCCUAGCCAAGCAUAAACAAGACAUCUGCUAUGGUCAUAUCAAUAUUGCUCUUUGUAAACAGCUUUAUAAAUUUAAUCCAGAUAAUAAUUGGAAAGACAUGAAAGUUAUAAAACAUUGUAAAUUGUGGAAACAAGGAAUGAUGAUGAAGUCUGUGGAUAUUGAUACUAGAAGUCAAUACAUCACUGUCAUUAAUGAGAACCAGGCUAGUAAUGUAUCUGGGACAUAGCUCUAUGCUUACUGAAAAUACCAGAAUAGAUAUUCUAUGCAUUAAUCUGAUGGUGAAUAGUCAUGGUAAACUCCUGUAUUGGUAUUACAACCUAACACAUAUAUUGUACUUUCAUUUAUAAAAUUACAUUAAUUGUGUUUGUUUUCACACCUUUUUCAUUUAUUUUAUUUCUAAGUUUAUAUUUUAGUGUUAACU
rnacentral:lncRNA from 1 species